rnacentral:rRNA from 1 species
CCCGCUGAACUUAAGCAUAUUAGUGAGCGGAGGAAAAGAAAACAAGGGUGAUCUGGUUAGUAACGGCGAGUGAAGAGCAGUCAGCACGGGGUAGAAGUUUGUUUUUGUUUGGAACGAACAGUGUUACUUUUAUUUUUAAAUUAUUUUCAUUUAAAGUUGUCUGGAAAGGCACACACAUAGAGAGUGAUAGGCUCGUGAUUUGAAGAAGUUUAUAUAAAAAAAAAGAGUAGAUUGUCUUGGGAAUGGCAGUUGAAGAAGUGAGCGUGGUAGAUAGGACGUGAUGCUAUUAUAAGGUUAUGAAACCGAUAGUGGACAAGUACCGUGAGGGAAAGAUGAAAACGAUUCUUUUUUAGAAAGUUCAAAGGAGGUGAAAAAGCGGUGGCUGAAGGGGAUUGAUUGACCCACCCGUCUUGAAACACGG